UUGAAAGGGAAACGAUUGAAGUCAGUCGUGCUGGCAUGAAAUCAACUGUUGCAUUAGCAAGUUGUUGGCGGGUGAGCCUAAAAACCAUCGCGUCGACAUUUUUGCGCGUGCAGUGGUGCACUUUUUUGUCAGCUGGUUAGCAUCAAUUUCGACCGUCAUAAAAAGGCUGGGGGGAUGUGGCUCCUUCGGGAGUGUUAUAACCCUUAGCGGAAUGUGGUGGACGAGAUUGAGGAUUGCAACGGGUGCUGCUUUACCUGGCCUCUCGCUUGCGUCUCGGCGGCGACAGCUUGCUGACAACGUUGGGAACCGCAGUCGAAAAGGUUAGAGUGGACCGCUUCCAAGCGGAUCUGACCCAUUAAGGAUGUUGACGUA
rnacentral:rRNA from 1 species